AUGAAGGAGCCCGCACAGACUGUCACCAAAAAGGCAGCAGACAGGAAGGAAGAGAUGUCGCCGAACCCCCUGCAUCCCAUCUGGGUUAGGGAGGAUCAGCAGGUAUUGGGCUAUCUGCUGAAUAGUUUGUCGAAGGAAGUGCUUGUGCAGGUCACCUCCAUUGUCCACGCGCAUGAUCUCUGGACAGCGCUGGCCAGCAUGUUCUCCUCGACCUCUCUGUCCCGCAUCAACAACAUACGCAUAGCUCUUGCUAAUGCACAGAAGGGGCAGUAG
rnacentral:rRNA from 1 species